AGAUAUGGCCGGGACAGCCAUGAAGAAGAGAUAGUUCCUUCUGAUCUCAGAAGCUAAGGGUCAGGCCUGGUUAGUACUUGAAUGGGAGACCACCUAGGAAGACCAGGUACUGUAGGUU
rnacentral:rRNA from 1 species